rnacentral:lncRNA from 1 species
CACCCCUUCAUGCCAGGAGCUCCCCCAUUGUGACAACCACCGAUGUCCCCAGACAUUGCCUCAUGUCCCCCGGGGGCAGAAUUGUCCCACUUCUCCCAUUGAGAACCGUGUGCAAGGAAUACAUGUUUUCCUGUUUGUCUGUUGUGCCGGUAGGACCCUGGGGAAUCGCUUUCCUGGCGGUUCUUUCUGCAUCAAGACCCACACAUGAACCGAUUUAGGUCAUGGCUGUCCUUCAGAGCUGUCCUCAUGAGAAGGGCCAUGCAACCUGCUAUUUCUGGGCUCUAACCAGCCUCGUUUGGGAGCGGACGUCCGGGUCCCGAGCCAGCGCUGAGGACAGCCACGCCUCGUGCACAGAUGAGAGAGAGCCGGAGCCAGAGCCGGAAAGACCAGAAGCGGCAGCAGCAGCAGUCUGCCCGCCUUGGAGAAAGCAAGCGGCCACGUCGGUGUGCUCGGAGCAGGGCCCGUCCGGCAGCCGGCGGGGAGCGGGGCCCGGGGUCCUCCCGCCGCAGCGAGUGGAUUCUGCCAGCAGCUCACGGGAGCCGAGGGGGUCCCGAGGUCCGGAUGAGAGCGCAGCCUGGCCAGUCCCUGAUUUCGGGCCUGGAGACCUGAGCGGAGGCCGCGGCUGUCCCCAUUUCACAGAUGAGAAACUCGUGGCGCGGAGGCGUAGGAACUUCAGAGUUCUGUGACGUUCAGAUGCCCGUGUCUGUCGCCCGGGCCGGGAGCUCUUCCAGGGCGUGGGUUUUGUCUGCCCCCUCGUGGGUGUUCUAGCGAGCGGGUGGGGAAGGGGAGGGGGGCUGGUGCACAGUCCUCGCCGGACCCCCCGCACACAGAGGCGAGUCUGUGAGCGGGGCCAGUGACACGCCAGGGACAGCAAGCAGAACCUGGGGUGAGGAAUGAUCACAUGCAGCUUCCUGGCCGAGUCCUCGCCGGAGCUCAGAGCCUCCCGGAAUGGGACGUGCCGUUCCCUGGCACCUGACGACAGUGC